UAAUCGUGGUGGGGGCAGAGGGCUUGCAAUUCAUUGUACAUUUCUCAUGCUUGAUAUAAAGUUUCACUCUCUUUUUGAGUAAAAGAAGAGAUUUGAUUUUUCAAUGC
rnacentral:snoRNA from 1 species